rnacentral:lncRNA from 1 species
GCCAACUUAGCAAUUUAGCAAGGCUUUAAGCAACUUAGCAAGACCCUGUCUCAAAAUAAAAAAUAAGGACUGGGAUGUGACUCAGUGGUAAAGCACCCCCGGGUUCAUUCCCUGGUACCAAAAAAAUAAUGUUCUUUCGCACUGAUACCUUUUCUUUAAAGGCCCUAUCAUCCCUAGAAGCUUAAACCCCAUACUAAGAUGAUUAUAACUUUUAAUUAGUUACCCUUUCAGUAAACUUUCUCCAGGUGAGCUCUUUUGCAAAAUCACAGUAGAAAGGGCAACUAAAAAUUUAUACUUCAUUUCCUGAAGCUAAGUAUUAAUUUAAAUAAUGUUUCUGAUUUUGAUUAAAAAAAAGUUUUAGAAUAAAUAUUAAUUAAGCUAGAUUUUCAGCCUUUAGUUAUAAAACUGGAAUUUAGAGACAUUUACUAGUAGGGAAUAGUAACCAAUGAAUGUAAAACAGAUUAAUUGAAAUAAACUGGUAGAACUAUAGAAAAAAAUAAGGUUUAUUUAAAUAUUCAAACCAAAAGUAGCUACCUUUACCCCAGCCUUCCCACAACAUUCUUCAUAGUCUAAUUAUAUCAUACUGUUUCUUGAAUUUUAUACAUUAAAAGCCAAUCACUGUAUAUUAACAGUAUGUUUUCCUGAAUUCAAACUUAAAGCCUUUAAUUAUCUGAUUUUUCUAGUAGCUCCUCCUCAGUUAAAUUCUUUUCUCAUAUUUUUAUUGGUGAUUUAUAGUGACAUAUGAUGAUGGGAUUCAUUGUUAAAUGUUUGUAUAUAUACAAUAUAACAAUAUACUUUGGCCAGUAUCAUUCCCCAUUAUUUUCCCUUUCCAUCUCUUCCCUCUCCCCUCCCUUUCCUCUACUCUGCUGAUCUCUCUUUGAUUUUCAUGAGAUCUCCUACCUUUCUUUUCCUUUUUCCUCUGUAACUUCAACAAAGGAGCAAAAAACAUCCAAACCUUGACUUUCUGAGUUUGACUUGUUUUAUUCAACAUAAUGUUCUCAAGUUCCAUUCAUUUUCCUUCACAUAAUAUAAAUUUAUUCUUUUUGGUUGAAUAAAACUCUGUUGUCUAUAUAUACAACAUUUGCUUUAUCAAUUCAUCUAUUGAUGGACACGUAGGCUGAUUUCAUAGUUUGGCUGUUAUGAGUUGUGCUGCUAUAAACAUGAGUAUGCAUGUAUCACUGUAGUAUGCUGAAUUUAAUUCUUUAGGAUAAAUGCUGAGGAGUUGUAUUACUGAGUCAUAUGGUGAUUCCAUGCCUCUUCUUUUGGGGGAAUUCCAUACUGAUUUCCAUAGUGAUUGUACUAAUUUACAAUCCCACCAACAAUGUUAAACUGUUCCUUUUUCUCUAUAUCUUCUCCAGAAUUUAUUAUUGUUUGUAUUCUUGGUUACCACCAUUCUCUUCAGUUAAAUUCAUCUAUUAGCCUUUUGGAAUAACAUUUUUAUGGGGAUGAUUGUUUUAUUUCUCCCAGUAGGCUAGUUAGUUUGCAUUUUUACUGUCCUCAACAGCCCUGAAGAAGAUGGCUUACUUUUUGGUUCUAUACUUUAUGAAAAGGACCUUAUACAGCAUGAGGGCUCCUAGGUAGGAAGAUCACCCGCUUACCAUGGAACCUUUUCC